rnacentral:lncRNA from 1 species
GUAGACUCUAGAAAUCAAUUUCGCAAACUUACUCUUGUUUUAUGGAUGUUUGGUAGACUAGCUUGAAAUCUACGAAUUUCUGUCUGUUUCCAAAAUUUUGAGCUUGUGGACUUACAUUAUGUCUCCAAAUCAUAGGUAGACUUAAGGGCUGUAUUGAAUCUGAAAUCUAAAAUGAUUUGAUUUUAGUGAGUUUUUAGAUGAUUUUAGGUGAAUAUUAUAAUUUCGUGUGAUUUUUGUUAAACAAUUCUAGAAUCUCAUGGGAUUUAGAUUUUCAUUAUUAUAACUAAGAAAUCACUCUCAAACAC